UUUUACAGAUCAACACAUACUAGCAGAGAUGGUCUUCUGUGUGGAAAAAUCUGUGUGUUCCUCAUAAAUGCACAGUAGGGAUUUGCAUAUUAAAACAAGUCACUUCUGCCUGGUUUGCCUUGUGGGAGGGAGAGAGAUACCCCUGGACACGGGCUCUGAAAAAGGAGCCCUUGGGGCCUCUCCUGCCUCCACCAGCUACUCUUGGAGAGAAGAAACUGAAGGUGUCUCAGAAAUUCCUCAACCCUCGGAGACUAUGGCUGGAAAAUAGUAUCUAAAGCCCUGGACCGAGCAAUACUGCAGUCAGAUGGGCCCAACUGACUCCAAUGGGGCUUCAGGUGAGUGCAGGGAUCCCUGGUCCCCCUCUCAGUGCAGGAUUGGGCCACACAUGACAAGUAACAUACGAACAUACACGUCUUCUGUUACAAAUAAGCAACCACUUGGUAUCCUCAACUGCUCUACAACCUAGCCACCAUUAACUGGCUGAUUUCCUAUAGGCAUCUUACAGAUAUUUCUUACAGACUGCAUCCUGGGCAGAGGCUGGUCUUGAAAGAAGGAAGUAUAGUAGCCUGAUGGAUUAGUUUGGGGAUGUUUUUCCAUGCAUGUUAAAUAACCACAGACACCAAGGGACAAAUAAAUAGACCCUACAAAUAAUAAUAUUCCAGCCCAGUUAUCUCCAGUACCAGAGAUCUAUUGUACAAUGCAAGACUCUCCCUUUAUAGACAUUAUUAAAAUAUGGUAGUAAUAUAGUUAGAUCUGGCUGAGGUGCAUUGGAAGAGUAUGUGCUAGUCCCAGGCUGCAUUCAGGACUUAGAAAAGGAGUAAGUGUUUCCCAUUGCCCAAGUAUUUUUAAAAGGUGAACUGAAGAGUUUAAACAGAAUUGUUUAAGAAUCCUAACCGCUAGCAAAAUAUAUUUAGACUUAAAGAUUGCAAAUACGUACAUUUAAAAUAAAUAGGUCAGCCUCUCCUUCACCUACGUCUCUGAG